UACGGGGGGUGCGAGCGUUGUCCGGAAUCACUGGGCGUAAAGGGCGCGUAGGUGGUUUGAUAAGGGUGUGGUGAAAGUUCGGGGCUCAACCCCGGAUCUGCCGUGCCGACUGUCAAACUCGAGGACUGUAGAGGCAGACGGAAUUCCGGGUGUAGCGGUGGAAUGCGUAGAGAUCCGGAGGAAGACCGGUGGCGAAGGCGGUCUGCUGGGCAGUUUCUGACACUGAGGCGCGACGAGCGUGGGGAGCAAACAGG
rnacentral:rRNA from 1 species